rnacentral:rRNA from 1 species
GGGUCUACCCAUUGGUCAGGUUUAACUGUCUGCACUGGAGAGAUGGAUCUCUACCUUCUGAGGAACUUUCAUGCCAUUUAUUUGGUGUGGUUGGAAAUCAGGACUGUUACUUUGAAAAAAUUAGAGUGUUCAAAGCAGACUAUCGUCUGAAUACAUUAGCAUGGAACAAUGAAAUAGGACGGACUGAUUCUAUUUCGUUGGUUUCUAGGAUCACCGUA